AUACCAUGAUGAUCUUGUUAAUGCGCUGAACCUCCGUGUAGCUUGCAAAACGAGCUUUUUAACACUGAUGCAAC